GCGAUGAAAGCCCCCCUUGAGGGGGCACCCCAUCACUACCCUUGCCUUUGAGUACCUUCUGUUUCCUCGGCGGGUUCGCCCGCCAAUGGGGACUAAUCCCAAACUCUUUGCAGUAGGCAGUGCAGUCUGAAAAAAAAGUAAACUUUUA
rnacentral:misc_RNA from 1 species